ACUGACAGCAUUAAGUAUGGGUUGAGCAUUCUGCAGGGUAUACAAAGUGAAAGCAAAAGCUUGAAGAAAUCACUCAAGGAUGUGGUCACUGAGAAUGAAUUUGAGAAGAAACUUUUGGCCGAUGUUAUUCCUCCUAGUGACAUUGGAGUGACCUUUGAUGACAUUGGUGCAUUAGAGAAUGUUAAAGAUACCUUGAAGGAACUGGUGAUGCUUC
rnacentral:misc_RNA from 1 species